GCCUACUACUACAACUACUAAGCCUACAACCACAACAACUAAGCCUGCAACUACAACCACCCAUUUUUGUUUGGCAAAUUUGUUAUCCUAACAAAUAAGGAUUUUUUAACGGGGAGGCACAUUUUUUCCAUUUUGACCUCAAGAUGAAGAGAAUGCGUGCUGUUGUUGAUUUGAAAUUUUCGACAAUUCGACAAUCGUAAAAUUAAUUUAUAUGGAGCGUCAAUGGCCAAAAGUCUAAUUCAUAUACAUAACCAGUGUGUUGGAUUUGGGGCCAUCAAAUCACUCAAAUCCAAAUCAAAUCCGAAAAAUUUGAGGAUUUGGAUUGGAUUUCCCAAUGUGGGAAAAGGCAGUGAUUUGAUUUGGAUUUGACGCAAAAUGUCAUAAAAAUCAAAUCAAUUUCAAAUCCAAAUCCAAAUCAUUAAGAGUAACUUAACCAAUGGCCCACCAGAGGUCUGACUUCGCUGACGUCUACUGACCUGACUUGACUUCUGGCUUAUUUGAGCUCAUAUUCCUUCACACGUUGAGUAUCUGAAUUCUGUGUUUUUAUUUUAAUGUAAUUCUGAGUGAAUUUUCUGCAGGUAUAAAUGUUUAAUUAAUAUUUUUACUUUCUGUUCGGUUUUAUACAUGUUCCCAUUUUGGCAUUUUCCUUUUUGGUUUGGUCUUUUCAAUAGACCACUAUUCCACUAAGUUAACGUGACUGUAGGACCUCGUGAUUGUGCCAACUUUGCAAUCUACAUCUAUCAAUUACAUCAAAGAUUCAAAGACAAUUAAUAAAGAUUAGUUUGGUCUACUACUAGCUUAUGUAUCUUUCUGUUGUACAUGGUGUUACUGCGAGCCAAUUGAAAUCAGUUGGAAUUCUGAUUGCGACUAAUUAGCCAGGUCUAGUUCUGUUAGUUUAGUUUACCUACAUCAAGGUACUACUUUAACAACUAGCUAUGUAGAACUGUGAACUCAUCAAUCCUUUUAUUUUAACUGACAUUUUAGAAUGAGUAGGGGAGAACGGGGUCAACUUGGACACGGGUCAUAUUGGACAAAGACCCUAAGUGCUACAUGUUAUGGAAAAAAAAAUUUAA